GAUGAACGCUGGCGGCGUGCCUAAUACAUGCAAGUCGAGCGAACAGACGAGGAGCUUGCUCCUCUGACGUUAGCGGCGGACGGGUGAGUAACACGUGGAUAACCUACCUAUAAGACUGGGAUAACUUCGGGAAACCGGAGCUAAUACCGGAUAAUAUAUUGAACCGCAUGGUUCAAUAGUGAAAGACGGUUUUGCUGUCACUUAUAGAUGGAUCCGCGCCGCAUUAGCUAGUUGGUAAGGUAACGGCUUACCAAGGCAACGAUGCGUAGCCGACCUGAGAGGGUGAUCGGCCACACUGGAACUGAGAAACGGUCCAGACUCCUACGGGAGGCAGCAGUAGGGAAUCUUCCGCAAUGGGCGAAAGCCUGACGGAGCAACGCCGCAUGAGUGAUGAAGGUCUUCGGAUCGUAAAACUCUGUUAUUAGGGAAGAACAAAUGUGUAAGUAACUAUGCACGUCUUGACGGUACCUAAUCAGAAAGCCACGGCUAACUACGUA
rnacentral:rRNA from 1 species